rnacentral:rRNA from 1 species
AUACGGAGGAUGCGAGCGUUAUCCGGAUUUAUUGGGUUUAAAGGGAGCGUAGGUGGGAUAUUAAGUCAGCUGUGAAAGUUUGGGGCUCAACCUUAAAAUUGCAGUUGAUACUGGUUUCCUUGAGUACGGUACAGGUGGGCGGAAUUCGUGGUGUAGCGGUGAAAUGCUUAGAUAUCACGAAGAACUCCGAUCGCGAAGGCAGCUCACCGGGCCGGAACUGACACUGAUGCUCGAAAGUGCGGGUAUCAAACAGGAUUAGAUACCCUGGUAGUCCGCACAGUAAACGAUGAAUACUCGCUGUUUGCGAUACACAGUAAGCGGCCAAGCGAAAGCGUUAAGUAUUCCACCUGGGGAGUACGCCGGCAACGGUGAAACUCAAAUGAAUUGGCGGGG